rnacentral:rRNA from 1 species
CGGUAGGCCUAACACAUGCAAGUCGAACGGCAGCACAGAGGAGCUUGCUCCUUGGGUGGCGAGUGGCGGACGGGUGAGGAAUACAUCGGAAUCUACUCUGUCGUGGGGGAUAACGUAGGGAAACUUACGCUAAUACCACAUACGACCUACGGGUGAAAGCAGGGGAUCUUCGGACCUUGCGCGAUUGAAUGAGCCGAUGUCGGAUUAGCUAGUUGGCGGGGUAAAGGCCCACCAAGGCGACGAUCCGUAGCUGGUCUGAGAGGAUGAUCAGCCACACUGGAACUGAGACACGGUCCAGACUCCUACGGGAGGCAGCAGUGGGGAAUAUUGGACAAUGGGCGCAAGCCUGAUCCAGCCAUACCGCGUGGGUGAAGAAGGCCUUCGGGUUGUAAAGCCCUUUUGUUGGGAAAGAAAUCCAGCCGGCUAUACCUGGUUGGGAUGACGGUACCCAGAGAAUAAGCACCGGCUAACUUCGUGCCAGCAGCCGCGGUAAUACGAAGGGUGCAAGCGUUACUCGGAAUUACUGGGCGUAAAGCGUGCGUAGGUGGUCGUUUAAGUCCGUUGUGAAAGCCCUGGGCUCAACCUGGGAACUGCAGUGGAUACUGGGCGACUAGAGUGUGGUAGAGGGUAGCGGAAUUCCUGGUGUAGCAGUGAAAUGCGUAGAGAUCAGGAGGAACAUCCAUGGCGAAGGCAGCUACCUGGACCAGCACUGACACUGAGGCACGAAAGC